UACGUAGGGACCAAGCGUUGUUCGGAUUUACUGGGCGUAAAGGGCGCGUAGGCGGCAAUUCAAGUCAGCUGUGAAAUCUCCGGGCUUAACUCGGAACGGUCAGCUGAUACUGCUUUGCUAGAGUGCAGAAGGGGCAAUCGGAAUUCUUGGUGUAGCGGUGAAAUGCGUAGAUAUCAAGAGGAACACCGGUGGUGUAGACGGCUUUCUGGACCGUAACUGACGCUGAG
rnacentral:rRNA from 1 species